UUAAGUUUUUUUUUUUUUUUUUUUUUCGUAUUUUUAUUUGUGUUCUGUUAUCUGUGGUGACAGUGCAUGACUUGAGUAGUUAUAUAUAUCAGUUGUAUAGCAGAGGCAAUCAUUUGUGUUAGCACUGGAAAGGGAAACUCAUGGUUGUGACUAACCAGGGCAGAAGCUAUGUAAAUAUACAGUAGAACUGCUUAACAUUCUCUGUUUGCACUGGUAUUGAGAUCAUCUGUUUCCAUUUAUUUGGUACUGAAGUAUUGCCACCAGAACUAGGUCUUAUAAGCGCCGAAGAAGGAGAGAAGAGAUCCAUGACUGCACCUGUUAAAAACUUUUAAUCAUAAUACUCUGAACCAAAAAGCAAAGAUAGUGUCUCUAAUAUAAAAUCAAUCAACUGAAGAAUAAGUUACUGCUGUCAAGCUUCAGAGAUCAGAGUUUUUCUUUCCCUGUGUAAUUCAUUUUAUGUAGCUCACCUGCCUGUGACUUGUGAUAUUCUAUCACUAAUUCGUAUGCUUGUCAAACAGCCACAGGAGAGAGAGGUGCUUAACCUCCCCAUGCCCUUACCCCUGAAACACUUAACUGUAAAACCAGGAAUUUGGCAUGGGGAUUCAGGGUUAGGAGUAGGUCAGUAUGCUUACCUCCAUCUAAGUCAUCCCAGCCAAGUGUUUAUUUAACUUGCUCUUAAAAACUCUCAGUGAUGGGGAUUCCACAGCCUUUGUGUAAUCUGUUCCAGUGCUUGACCACCCUCAUAGUUAGAAAGGUCUUCCUAAUGUCCAAGCCAAAAUUUCCUUGAGGGUAAUUUUAAGACAGUUACUGUUUGUCUUGUCUGUCUUAGACACAGCAAAUAGUCUAAACUCUAUAAACAGUCACAUGUGAUGAUCA